rnacentral:rRNA from 1 species
GAUGAACGCUGGCGGCGUGCCUAAUACAUGCAAGUCGAACGAACAGACGAGUUGCUUUCUGCUCUGAGUUUAGCAGCGGACAGGUGAUUAACACGUUGAGAGCCACCCUAUAACACUUUGAGGACUACUGCAAGCCAGAGCGAAUACCGCAGGAUAUUUUGGGCCUCAUGGUUCAAGGGUGUGAGACGGUUUUGCUUUCGCUGGUAGAUGGAUCCGCGCUGGAUUAGCUGGUUGGUAAGGUAACGGCUUACCAAGGCAGCGAUGCAUAGCCGACCUGAGAGGGUGAUCGGCCACAAUGGAACUGAGACAAGGCCCAGAAUCCUCCGGGAGGAAGCAGUAGGGAGUAUUACGGAACGAGCGGAGGAAUGAUGGAGCAACGCCGCGUGAGUGAUGAUGGUGGUCGGCUCGUAAAACACCGUUAUCAGGGAAGAAGAUAGGUGUAAGCAACUGUGCAUAUCUUGACGGUAGCUAGACAGAAAGCCACGGCUAACUACGUG